rnacentral:rRNA from 1 species
GAUGAACGCUGGCGGCGUGCCUAAUACAUGCAAGUCGAGCGAACAGAUGAGGAGCUUGCUCCUCUGACGUUAGCGGCGGACGGGUGAGUAACACGUGGAUAACCUACCUAUAAGACUGGGAUAACUUCGGGAAACCGGAGCUAAUACCGGAUAAUAAAUUGAACCGCAUGGUUCAAUAGUGAAAGACGGUUUUGCUGUCACUUAUAGAUGGAUCCGCGCCGCAUUAGCUAGUUGGUAAGGUAACGGCUUACCAAGGCAACGAUGCGUAGUCGACCUGAGAGGGUGAUCGGCCACACUGGAACUGAGACACGGUCCAGACUCCUACGGGAGGCAGCAGUAGGGAAUCUUCCGCAAUGGGCGAAAGCCUGACGGAGCAACGCCGCGUGAGUGAUGAAGGUCUUCGGAUCGUAAAACUCUGUUAUUAGGGAAGAACAAAUGUGUAAGUAACUAUGCACGUCUUGACGGUACCUAAUCAGAAAGCCACGGCUAACUACGUG